CGCUCGUCUGUCGCUUACCUGGUCCCGGCGCAUACACGAGCUCUCUUCCCCGCUCCUCUCUCUCUCUCGUUCGCUGUGAGACGCAGAAAUUCCCCACUCCUCCCACCCAAAUCUCAUGGACCAGUUGCGAUUAAGGAAGGGCGUGGCCGGCAGGGAACCGCCGCCGUGAUUGGGUGGGGUCGUCGAGGACCAUGGCGGCGGAGCAGGCCAUGUCCGGGCACCGGAUCGACAGGCUCUCGGCGUCAGAUCUACCAGCACCGGGCGCCAUCCCCGUCGGCGGCCCACACGUUGCCGCUCCAGCACCCGCGGCAGUAGAAGUGGGCGCGCCCGACAGACCUCAUCUCGUCAGGGGCGUCCACGUCGAAGUAGAUGUCGCGGGCGAGGGGCGCGUCGUUGACGGCCAUAGAGACGACGAUGCCGUCUACGGGAAGGCCGACAACGUCGCGGACGUGCAGCUCGUCCGAGCACCACCGCUCCCAGACGCCUUGGGCGCUCCAUUUGAAGUGCCGGAGCAUGGCGUCGUCUUGGACGACAUGAGACAAAAUUUUCAGUGCAAGCGGGCAAAUUGUAUCCACCACUUAGGCAAUUUUCAGGAAAAUACUGGCUUGUCAUUGAUUCUACAACUGAACUGGACUGCAGUUGCUCUACAUCGAGAACUGUUGGGGCCUCCAUUGUAGGGUGAUUGCUCAGCCCGUGUCAAGGAAUUGGAUGGAUGGAUGUUGGCUGAAGUGAAUUGGAUGGAUGUUGGCUGAAUUGCUCAGCCCGUGUCAAGGAAUCUUCAGAAAAAAAGAUUGCUCAGCCCGUGUCAACUGAACUGAAUUGGAUGGAUGUUGGCUGCCGGCCGACUGAUGUAGCAGGAAAGGAAAGUUCAAACCGAGGUUGCACAUCAUGCAAUGCGCCGAUGAAGAAGCAACGGAUUUUCACUAGUACUCCUAGUAUUAUGGUGCGACGAUGAGGGAUGCACAAACAAGCUGUGGCCAGUGGGAGAGGCAAGGGGACCUGUUCACCGCUGCAAGAGGGAUGUCGAAGGAACCAAAAGUGGAAGCUAGCAUAGCGACACCAUGUUCGUUUGUCUUCAAGAGGUAAAUGCCAUCUCUUUUUGAAGAACUAAACUAUUUUCACCAUCGUUUGUUUCUGUGUUAUAUAUGAGAUUUUUUGUGAUCGAUAAUACAUGUUUAUUUAGAAUCUCAAUGCCACCUCCUCGCGUCCACUAUUGCGGUCAAAGGCAAAGUUGCCUAAUAAGAAUCACUAGUUGUCUGGUAUAAGAUGCAAGUUGCCUAAACGACGACCACUUGUUGUCUGGGACAUAGAGACAUGUUGCUUGGGAUGAAAAGCUCCCCACCAGUUAGUUUUUCUGCGGUAUAAAGGCAAAGUUGGUUAAAUGACAACCAGUCUUUUUUUUAAAUGUCUACUAGUUGAAGAGGGUGUGUGUGGUCCUUUUUUGGGCAAAUAGAUGAUUUUGAGCGCAGGGGUGGUUUGCGGCCUCGGGAUGCGGGGGAUGGAAUCGUCGGCGAUUUUGGGCCGGAAGUUUUUAAAACUUGCCCAACACAUGAUAGUUAGUUGCUAGAGAUGUUGGCGCGAGUUGCCCAAGAUCCGCCCCUGAGAGUGUUGGGUAUAUUUUUUAGCCAAAACUUGCUCAACAUAUGAUGGUUAGUUGCUAGAGAUGUUGGCGCGGGUUGCCCAAGAGCUGCUCUCGGGAAUGUUGGGUUCUAUUUCUGCCCAAAACUUGCUCAACACAUGAUGGUUAGCUACUAGAGAUGUUGUCGCGAGUUGCCCAGAGAUCCGCUCCCAAGAGGGCUAGUUUUUUUGGCCCAAAACUUGCCCAACGCAUAAUAGUUAGUCACUAGAGAUGCUGGCGCGAGUUGCCUAGAGAUCCACUACUGGGGGGUAUUGGGCUCUAUGUUUUGCCCAAAACUUGCUCAGCGAUAUUUUUUAUAAUUUGAGAAACCUAUGAGAAACUGAGAGGACACGAUGGGGGGGGGGCUCUAAAAAGUGCCAAAACUUGCCUAACUUAUUACGCUACACAUGCUUUUGGUGUGAGUUGCUCAAGGAUUUUUGUAAAGUGUCUAACUAUUGCGUUUGUAGUUGCCUCAAAAUGAUGCAAACUUGCCCUUUCGUGCAAAGUUAUUACAUAUAGUUGCUACACAUGCUCUUUCGAGUGAGUUGCUGAAGGAAUGUUUGUUAAAUGCCUAACUAUUGCGUUUGUAGUUGCCUCAAAAUGAUGCAAACUUGCCCUUUCCUGCAAAGUUAUUACAUAUAGUUGCUACACAUGCUCUUUCAUGUGAGUUGCUGAAGGAAUUUUUGUUAACUGCCUACUAUUGUCUUUGUAGUUGCCUCAAAAUGAUGCAAACUUAAUACAAACAAUUGCUACACACGGUGCGAGUUGCCCAAGGAAUUUUUGUAAACUGCCUAACCAUAGCCUUGUAUUUGCCUCAAAAUAAUGCAAACUUUGCAUCUCUCUUCUCGCAUAGUCUUUAUUCAAACUACCCAAAAUGAUCAAACAAUUUCCCCCUUUUUUCCAAGCAAGUUAUUGAAUGAGUCAAGCAACUAACAUAGGGAACACAGGCAACUGAUAUAACAACAUCAUAUUUUUUUUUACAUUUUUACCCCCAAUAGGUGGGUGAAAGCAAGUUAAUUGAAUGAAUUAAGCAACUAACAUAAUGAACACAGGCAACUAAUAUAUUUUUACCCCCAAUUUGUGGGGACAGCUUGGGAGAGAAGAAGAAAGGAGAGAGGGGCAAUGCUUUUGGUGAAGCGCGUGAAGGGAGGGAGAGAAGCUGGGUGGACGGAGGGACGUGGGAGACGGUGAACCCUUUCCUUUCCAAAUCUGGACUGAGGGGGGGACCAAAACAUACCUAAUAUGGGAGGCUGCCAGAGGGCACUAGCGGGCACACGUUUGCCCGCUAGACGCGUCCAUAACAAAAAAACAACACACAGUGGCUCGAGCCGGAAACUACACACGUCCGCAGCUGGGCCACAUCACUGUUGUCUUUCGAGCGUCCAGCUUAGCGUUCCACUCUGAGCCAGGCCCAGCAGCGGGACAGUCAAGAAAAAAACGGAGACACUGCGCUUUUUUUGUAGGAUAUGGGCUGGAAUCGGUCUACCGAAGCCCAUUCUGCCGCUCGGCCCGCUUCUUCCCCGACCCCGUCCUCUCCGCUCGCACGCACGCACGCACACACGGCCAACUGUCGCUGCGUCCAGUUCGUCCACUCUCCUGUACCGCACCCCCCGACACAGAGUGAUUUUUGGUUAAUGCACACAGAUACACGUGCGGUGACCAUGGCCGUCUCCCAUCCAUUUAAGCAUCUCCCAUCCAUUUAAGCAUAACGUUGACAUAUUUUUUCUUAUUCCAGACGAGAAGAUAAAUACAUUGAGCGCCAAACAUACCCACAAACGACAUAACACACCACACCCACGUACGGAAACAAUCAUAUUGGCGGCAUAUGUUUAUUGAUCUUUCCUCGGCUCGCGCAGUCCAUUACUGAAGGAAAUAUGCCCUAGAGGCAAUAAUAAAGUUAUUAUUUUAUUUUCUUAUAUCAUGAUAAAUGUUUAUAAUUCAUGCUAGAAUUGUAUUAACCGGAAACAUAAUACUUGUGUGAA